rnacentral:lncRNA from 10 species
GCGACAGCCCAUCCCGAGGGAGGAAUCGGGGAGAAUGGAUGCAAGCCCCCGGCAGGCCACCAUACAAAACCCCAAGUCAAAGGUCAAGCGUCGCACUUGUCUUUCGAGUCGCCUGCUGGGCCCGCGUCCAAGUGUACUUUCCUUUCUUUUCAUUCCAGCUCUAAAGCUUUUUAAUAAACUUUCACUCCUGCCCUAAAACUUGCCCCAGUCUCUCCUGCCUCAUGCCCCUCAAAUUCGUUCUUCUGAGGAGGUUGCUGCAGCCCUGUAUGGAUUCGCCGCUAACAUCUUCCGCUGCCGUGUGACUCAGAUAACUUCCAUCGCUAACGUGGAGAGGUCUGUGCCUAAGCGGGGCCAAGUCUGUGAUGGGGGCUUCCCAUGGGUGGGCUUCGGGCUCUCUCUCUGUUGCUCUCUCUCUCUCUCUCUCUCUCUCGCCAGGACCUUGUUUUCCAGUCUCAAUCAGCCAUGCGAGGUGCUCCCUUCCACUACCUCUGAGGACACGCAAUUGUUGCCAGAACCUAGAGGGCAUCACUGUUGAAACUCCCCUGGGCUCGGGGGCUGUAGGCAGAGCAGAAGCCCCUCCUUUAGGCCCCCAAGCUCCACUUCAACAAACCACGUGGCUGUAACCAGGGCUUCCAGGAAAACUGCAGCAAAUCAAGCCGGGAGCUGGGGCCUGGGCAGUUCAUGAUCUGGCUGGGUUCCCCGCUCAGGCAGUUCACGCGCACAGACCGCCCCCUGGAAGAACUGCGGCUGGAAUGAGCAAUUCUCCUGAGAAAGCAAAGACACGGACUCACAAGGGAGUUCUGGGCAGAAACGGAGACGGAGAUUGGAGUGAAGCGUCCACAAGCCAAGGAGUGCCAAGGAGUGCCAAAGAUUGCCAGCAACCCCCAGACGCUGGAGGAGGCCGGGAAGGAGCCUCCCCAGGAGCCUUUGGAGGGAGCAGGGCCCUGCUGACACCUCGAUGUCAGACACCUGGCCUCCAGGACGGUGAGAGCGGGUUCUGUUGUUGCGAGCCACCCAGCUCUUGGCACUUGGUUACGCGGGUCACAGGACACCAGUAGAGCCAUAUCUACUCAUUCAUUUCAGAAACGUUGUGCCAGUACGUACCAGGCACUUUCAAAGACACCGGGGAUACGGAAAUAAAGAAUAAAUGGGAUCCUUGCUCUCAGUGGAGUUUCCAUUCUAGUAGAGGAAGAUGAGCAAAAAUAAAUAAAUGAUAACUUCUGUCUGGGCGCGAUGGCUCACAUCUGUAAUCUCAGCACUUUGGGAAGCUGAGGCGUGCAGAUUACCUGAGGUCAGGAGUGCGGGACCAGCCUGGCCAACA